rnacentral:rRNA from 1 species
GAGUUCUGUUCCUGGCUCAAGGAGAACGCUGGCGGCGUGCCUAACACAUGCAAGUCCGAACGGGGUAUAUAAGCGGAAGUUUUACGGAUGGAAGGUUAUAUACUUAGUGGCGGACGGGUGAGUAACGCGUGGGCAACCUGCCCCGUGCCGGGGGAUACCGCCUGGAAACAGGCGCUAAUACCGCAUAAGCGCAUACAGCCGCAUGGGUGUAUGCGGAAAGCUCCGGCGGCACGGGAUGGGCCCGCGCCCGAUUAGCCAGUUGGCGGGGUAACGGCCCACCAAAGCGACGAUCGGUAGCCGGCCUGAGAGGGCGGACGGCCACAUUGGGACUGAGACACGGCCCAAACUCCUACGGGAGGCAGCAGUGGGGAAUAUUGCACAAUGGGGGAAACCCUGAUGCAGCAACGCCGCGUGGGUGAAGGAGCGUUUCGGCGCGUAAAGCCCUGUCAGCGGGGAAGAAGAAAGACGGUACCCGACCAAGAAGCCCCGGCUAACUACGUGCCAGCAGCCGCGGUAAUACGUAGGGGGCGAGCGUUAUCCGGAAUUACUGGGUGUAAAGGGAGCGUAGACGGCGAGGUAAGCCUGAAGUGGAAGCCCGCGGCCCAACCGCGGAACUGCUUUGGGAACUGUUUUGCUGGAGUAUGGGAGGGGUAAGCCGAAUUCCUGGUGGAGCGGUGAAAUGCGUAAAAUAUCGGGAAGAACACCCGUUGCCAAAGCGGCCUACUGGAACAUAACUGACUUUGAGGCCUCAAAGCCUGGGGAACCGAACAGGAUAAAAUCCCCUGGUACUUCCCCCC